AAUUGGAGGGCAAGUCUGGUGCUAGCAGCCGCGGUAAUUCCAGCUCCAAUAGCGUAUAUUAAAGUUGUUGCAGUUAAAAAGCUCGUAGUUGAAUUUCGGGAUCAAUAUUUCGGUCAUGCCGUUGGUAUGCACUGUUAUCAUUGAUUUCUCACCUUCUAAAGAACCGUAAUGCCAUUAAUUUGGUGUUACGGGGAAUUAGGACUGUUACCUUGAAAAAAUUAGAGUGUUUAAAGCAGGCUCACGCUUGAAUACAUUAGCAUGGAAUAAUGAAAUAGGACAUCCGAUUCUAUUUUGUUGGUUUCUAGGAUCGAUGUAAUGAUUAAUAGGGAUAGUUGGGGGCAUUAGUAUUCAAUUGUCAGAGGUGAAAUUCUUGGAUUUAUUGAAGACUAACUACUGCGAAAGCAUUUGCCAAGGAUGUUUUCAUUAAUCAAGAACGAAAGUUAGGGGAUCGAAGACGAUCAGAUACCGUCGUAGUCUUAACCAUAAACUAUGCCGACUAGGGAUCGGAUGAUGUUAAUUUUUUAAUGACUCAUUCGGCGCCUUACGGGAAACCAAAGUGU
rnacentral:rRNA from 1 species